rnacentral:rRNA from 1 species
UUAAGUAGACCGCCUGGGGAGUACGGUCGCAAGAUUAAAACUCAAAUGAAUUGACGGGGGCCCGCACAAGCGGUGGAGCAUGUGGUUUAAUUCGAUGCAACGCGAAGAACCUUACCUACUCUUGACAUCCAGAGAAKCCAGCGGAGACGCAGGUGUGCCUUCGGGAGCUCUGAGACAGGUGCUGCAUGGCUGUCGUCAGCUCGUGUUGUGAAAUGUUGGGUUAAGUCCCGCAACGAGCGCAACCCUUAUCCUUGUUUGCCAGCGAGUAAUGUCGGGAACUCCAGGGAGACUGCCGGUGAUAAACCGGAGGAAGGUGGGGACGACGUCAAGUCAUCAUGGCCCUUACGAGUAGGGCUACACACGUGCUACAAUGGCGCAUACAGAGGGCAGCAAGCUAGCGAUAGUGAGCGAAUCCCAAAAAGUGCGUCGUAGUCCGGAUUGGAGUCUGCAACUCGACUCCAUGAAGUCGGAAUCGCUAGUAAUCGUAGAUCAGAAUGCUACGGUGAAUACGUUCCCGGGCCUUGUACACACCGCCCGUCACACCAUGGGAGUGGGCUGCAAAAGAAGUG